rnacentral:rRNA from 1 species
CCUACGGGAGGCAGCAGUCGAGAAUCAUUCACAAUGGGGGAAACCCUGAUGGUGCGACGCCGCGUGGGGGAAUGAAGGUCUUCGGAUUGUAAACCCCUGUCAUGUGGGAGCAAAUUAAAAAGAUAGUACCACAAGAGGAAGAGACGGCUAACUCUGUGCCAGCAGCCGCGGUAAUACAGAGGUCUCAAGCGUUGUUCGGAAUCACUGGGCGUAAAGCGUGCGUAGGCUGUUUCGUAAGUCGUGUGUGAAAGGCGCGGGCUCAACCCGCGGACGGCCCAUGAUACUGCGAGACUAGAGUAAGGGAGGGGGAACCGGAAUUCUCGGUGUAGCAGUGAAAUGCGUAGAUAUCGAGAGGAACACUCGUGGCGAAGGCGAGUUCCUGGACAUUAACUGACGCUGAGGCACGAAGGCCAGGGGAGCGAAAGGGAUUAGAUACCCGAGUAGUC